GCUGGGCAUGGUGGUGUGUGCCUGUAGUCUCAGCUACUCAGGAAGCUGAGGUGGGAGGAUCUCUUGAGCCCAGGAGUUCAAGAUUACAGUGAGCUAUGAUCAUACCACUGCGCUCCAGCCUGGGCAACAGAGCAAGACCCUGUCUCUU
rnacentral:sRNA from 1 species